rnacentral:lncRNA from 1 species
GUUAAUGAUGACAGAGAGAAGGGAGAGAUCAGGGAGAAUUAUAGUGAGGAUAAGGAGACUGAAGAGAGCAAAAGGAGUGAUGGUGAGGAUAAGGAGAAUGUAGAGGGAAAAGAGAUUGAAAUUGAAGAGAGCAAAGAAAGUGAAAGCAUAAACAGAGAGACUGAAGAAAGCAAGGAGAAUGAAGAGGGCAAAGAAGGUGAAAGCGAGCACAGAGAGAGAGAGAGGAAGGAGAGUGAAGAGAGCAAAGAAAGUGAAAGCGAACACAGAGGGAGUGAAGACAGCAAGGAGAAUGAAGAGAGCAAAGAAAGUGAAAGCGAGCACAGAGAAAGUGAAGAGAGGAAGGUGAAUGAAGAGAGCAAAGAAAGUGAAAGCGAACACAGAGAGAGUGAAGACAGCAAGGAGAAUGAAGAGAGAAAAGAAAGUGAAAGUGAGCACAGAGAGACUGAAGACAGCAAGGAGCACGAAAUGAGCGAAGAGACUGCAAAUGAGAAUAAAGAAAAUGCAAGUGAAGAAAAG